AUAGCCUCGUGGGGGAGUCCGGUUUCGUGCUCGCAAGGAGGCACUUUGGGGAUUUUGGUUGGUUGGUUGGGCUUUUAUUUAUUUAUUUUUUUUUGAGACAGCGUUUAACUCUUUAUCCUCGGCUGGCCUAGAACUCGUGGCAGCCUUUCCGCUCCAGCCUCCCAAGUGCUGAUAUUACAGACGCGAGCCGCCAUGCCCAUUUGACAAGCUAGCCCUUGGAAUUUUCCUGACCAGUUCUGUCAAAAUCACCUGAGGCCUCAUGAAUGUGCCUGUAAAAGACCACAGAGGAGGGUGUCAGAUCUUCUGGAACUGAGGUUACAGGUGGGUGAGCGCUACCCUGUGGGGGCUGAGAGCAGCAAGACACUUAGCCGCUGAGCCAUCUCUCCAGGCCCAAGGGGAAAUUCUGGAGCGCCAUCUCGUGGCCAUCCCAGUUCAGUGGGCGGGCACUAACCCAUCCUUGGGUCAAAGGACUCUUUCCUGUUUGUGUGGUCAGCUGAUGUUUCUGCUGAGAGUGCCCAAAGCUUCUGAGCCUCCUCUGGGGCCAAGUCCAGCCACCAAAGUGGGAAUUCCUUGGAAUCAAUAAAGUCCUUUCUUUCUUGUGAGGGAAGGCUAGUUCAUAUCUUCGGACCACACACAGGUUGAACCUGAGAAAGCACAAAUGCCCCUGACUAUGCCUGGACCACAAGGAGUCCAGGGAAGACUGAGUGCUGCUAAGGCCCUGAAGUUGUGAGUUCUUCUAUGGUCUCCUUCUCCCCAGAUGUUGCAAGAACCAGUUAUUCUUUUGUUGUUGUUGUUUUGAUUUUCGAGAUAGGGUUUCUCUGUGUAGCCCUGGCUGUCCUGGAACUUACCAUAUAGACCAGGCUGGCCUCAAACUCAGAGAUCCUCCUGCCUCUGCCUCUGAGUGCUGAGAUUAAAGGCGUGCACCACCACUGCCGAACCCAAAGUUACAUUCUUUAAGAUUUAUUAUAUUUUUGGUUUUUUUGUUUGGUUGGUUUUGUUUUGUUUUGUUUUUUCGAGACAGGGUUUCUCUGUGUAACAGCUCUGGCUGUCCUGAAAUUAGUUCUGUAGACCAGGCUGGCCUCAGACUCAUGUAGAUCUGCCCACCUCUGCCUCCCAAGUGCUGGGAUUAAAGGUAUGUGCCACCACUGCCUGUCUUGGUUCCCUCCUUAACUAUGUAGGACCUGGGGACUGAACUUAGGGCCUCAAGCUUGGUGACAAAGUGUGCCUUUACCUACAACUAUCUUGUGACUUUUUUUAAGAUGUAUGUAUGUUUGUUUGUUUGUUUGUUUAUUUAUUUAUUUAUUUAUUUUUGUAUGAGUGUUUUGCCUGCAUGUAUGUAUGUGUAUCAUGUGCAUGCCUGAUG